CCUCUGUAUAAAAGUCUGCACACUGCCAGUAACCUGGACAAAUCCUAACACGGGAGUUGUGGGGUCAGCGGCCGCGCUGAGAUGGGGGAGCCUGGCUCAUCUGCCUUGGUCGCCCUGCAGGCCUCUACCCCCAUGGACGUAUACCUGCCCUCGGCGGGGCGUGAGCACAGCGCUGCCCCAGGAAAAAUCUUCCUUUCCUAAAAAGCUCUCCCGAGGUGUGAUCUACCUGCUGCAGAAGUCACUCACAACCCGUGCAUGAGGGCCCCCCCGCAGAGGCACUCCCAACCCACAGAGCCCCGUGCUGCUGGCCGACACCUGUCCUGAGGAACCACGAGUCUGCUUUCUCUGCCUACAGUUCCAUCUUUUCUAGAGAGUUCAUGUGAACAAGUCUUUUCAGUAAACAUUUUUCUGAGACUCA